UGGGGAAUAUUGGACAAUGGGCGAAAGCCUGAUCCAGCCAUGCCGCGUGUGUGAAGAAGGUCUUCGGAUUUUAAAGCACUUUAAGUUGGGAGGAAGGGCAGUAAGCGAAUACCUUGCUGUUUUGACGUUACCGACAGAAUAAGCACCGGCUAACUCUGUGCCAGCAGCCGCGGUAAUACAGAGGGUGCAAGCGUUAAUCGGAAUUACUGGGCGUAAAGCGCGCGUAGGUGGUUCGUUAAGUUGAAUGUGAAAGCCCCGGGCUCAACCUGGGAACUGGAUCGAAAACUGGCGUACUAGAGUAGGGCAGAGGGUGGUGGAAUUACCUGUGUAGCGGUGAAAUGCGUAGAUAUAGGAAGGAGCACCAGUGGCGAAGGCGACCACCUGGGCUCAGACUGACACUGAGGUGCGAAAGCGUAGGGAGCAAACAGG
rnacentral:rRNA from 1 species